UUGUAGUUUUGUUUCUUUUUGUCUCUUUGCUUUACUUAAUAAUUUCCAUUUGCACUUAUUUCCUGUACCAAUUUGACAGGUAGCAAUUCAGUUCUUAUUCUAUAGCUGUUGCUGUUGAAUUUGUUCGUCACGUCCUGACACAGUCCUGCCAUUGUCAGAGUCAAGAACAGGCCCUCACCCGUGACCACACACCUUCUCCUCCAAAUUCAGGAUUGGAGCAAUGGAAUAGAAAUCAUCAAAAGCCAAACCAUUAUGGAAGCCUCUUCCUUGUGAGACACAGGACGAUAAUGCUCCCUUUCCCUCCCAAGGCGGGAGACAGUCCAAGGCCCUUGUCAGUUCUGAGCUUCCCAGAAGUGGGGCCUGGGUGGACGGACAUCCACUCACACCCCUGGGAUGAGCCAGGUGGGCGGGGGUGGCCCAGCUUCGAAGAGCUCGGUUCCAGGAUCACAAAGACCCACCAGCGGGGUCUCAAGUCCUGACCCAUCCUACAUGCUCUGCAAACUUGCGCAAAUUAUUUCACUGCUCGUGCCUCAGUUCCCCCAAUAUAAGAUGGGAUAACAAUAGUUCCUACUCGUGGAGUUGCUGAAAAACAUUAGAUGAGAUUAUGUCAGAAAUGCCAGCAAUUGUUACAAUUUCUUGUUAUUAUUGUAUGCAAGCAGCUGGGGGGUCUUGGUGAGGAACUAGAAAAUGGGCAAGGGUAUGUUCCUGGGUAUGUGUCAGGCAGGGUUUUCAAGACGGCCCCAAAGACAUCCACAGAACACGUCUGGCAACUUUAUUUGCUCAGCCUUCCCCCUUCCCCGCCGCCCAAACUGGCCAAUUCCUGUGGGACGCUGCACCACUCAUUAAAUAUUGGAAGAUUUUCCUCCGAGGAGGUGGGAAUGCCUGCUCACGUGACUUCCAUUUGACACUGUACUGGUGCGCUAGCUGUCCGCUGCUGUGCCAACCCACCCCACAAACCUAGUGACUCGAGUCAAGAGCCAU
rnacentral:lncRNA from 10 species